rnacentral:rRNA from 1 species
GCUUUAUGCACCAUUGGAUGAGCCUGCACUUGAUUAGUUUGUUGGUGGGGUAAUGGCCUACCAAGACUGUGAUCAAUAGCUGAUUUGAGAGGAUGAUCAGCCACAUUGGGACUGAGACACGGCCCAAACUCCUACGGGAGGCAGCAGUGGGGAAUCUUGCACAAUGGAGGAAACUCUGAUGCAGCGAUGCCGCGUGAGUGAAGUAGGCCUUUGGG